UUGACCUCGGAUCAGGUAGGGAUACCCGCCGAGGUAAGCAUAUCAAUAAGCGGAGGA
rnacentral:rRNA from 1 species